rnacentral:rRNA from 1 species
AUUGAAUGCUGGCGGCAGGCUUAACACAUGCAAGUCGAGCGGAGAGAGGUAGCUUGCUACUGAUCUUAGCGGCGGACAGGUGAGUAAUGCUUAGGAAUCUGCCUAUUAGUGGGGGACAACAUUUCGAAAGGAAUGCUAAUACCGCAUACGUCCUACGGGAGAAAGCAGGGGAUCUUCGGACCUUGCGCUAAUAGAUGAGCCUAAGUCGGAUUAGCUAGUUGGUGGGGUAAAGGCCUACCAAGGCGACGAUCUGUAGCGGGUCUGAGAGGAGGAUCCGCCACACUGGGACUGAGACACGGCCCAGACUCCUACGGGAGGCAGCAGUGGGGAAUAUUGGACAAUGGGCGGAAGCCUGAUCCAGCCAUGCCGCGUGUGUGAAGAAGGCCUUAUGGUUGUAAAGCACUUUAAGCGAGGAGGAGGCUACUUUAGUUAAUACCUAGAGAUAGUGGACGUUACUCGCAGAAUAAGCACCGGCUAACUCUGUGCCAGCCGCCGCGGUAA